UGGGGAAUAUUGGACAAUGGGGGCAACCCUGAUCCAGCCAUGCCGCGUGAGUGAUGAAGGCCUUAGGGUUGUAAAGCUCUUUCGCCGGUGAAGAUAAUGACGAUAACCGGUAAAGAAGCCCCGGCUAACUCCGUGCCAGCAGCCGCGGUAAUACGGAGGAUGCAAGCGUUAUCCGGAAUGAUUGGGCGUAAAGCGUCCGCAGGUGGUGAUGCGAGUCUGCUGUUAAAGAGUGUAGCUUAACUACAUAAAGGCGGUGGAAACUGCACCACUAGAGUACGUUCGGGGCAGAGGGAAUUCCUGGUGUAGCGGUGAAAUGCGUAGAUAUCAGGAAGAACACCGGUGGCGAAAGCGCUCUGCUAGGCCGUAACUGACACUGAGGGACGAAAGCUAGGGGAGCGAAUGGGAUUAGAUACCCCGGUAGUCC
rnacentral:rRNA from 1 species